GACGAACGCUGGCGGCGUGCCUAAUACAUGCAAGUAGAACGCUGAAGAGAGGAGCUUGCUCUUCUUGGAUGAGUUGCGAACGGGUGAGUAACGCGUAGGUAACCUGCCUUGUAGCGGGGGAUAACUAUUGGAAACGAUAGCUAAUACCGCAUAACAAUGGAUGACACAUGUCAUUUAUUUGAAAGGGGCAAUUGCUCCACUACAAGAUGGACCUGCGUUGUAUUAGCUAGUAGGUGAGGUAAUGGCUCACCUAGGCGACGAUACAUAGCCGACCUGAGAGGGUGAUCGGCCACACUGGGACUGGGAAACGGCCCAGACUCCUACGGGAGGCAGCAGUAGGGAAUCUUCGGCAAUGGGGGCAACCCUGACCGAGCAACGCCGCGUGAGUGAAGAAGGUUUUCGGAUCGUAAAGCUCUGUUGUAAGUCAAGAACGGGUGUGAGAGUGGAAAGUUCACACUGUGACGGUAGCUUACCAGAAAGGGACGGCUAACUACGUG
rnacentral:rRNA from 1 species